rnacentral:tRNA from 1 species
GGGCCCGUAGCUCAGUGGUCUAGAGCGGGGGCCUCAUAAGCCCUUGGUCCCAGGUCCGAAUCCUGGCGGGCCCACAA